CUACGGGGCGCUGCAGCGGGGAAUAUUGGACAAUGGGGGAAACCCUGAUCCAGCAAUGCCGCGUGUGUGAAGAAGGCCUGCGGGUUGUAAAGCACUUUCGGUUGGGAGGACUGCUUCUAGCACUAAUAUUGUUGGAAGUUGACGUUACCUUCAGAAGAAGCACCGGCUAACUCCGUGCCAGCAGCCGCGGUGAAUACGGAGGGUGCAAGCGUUAAUCGGAAUUACUGGGCGUAAAGCGCGCGUAGGCGGCUAGAUCAGUAGGGUGUGAAAGCCCCGGGCUUAACCUGGGAACUGCAUCCGAUACUGUCUAGCUAGAGUACAGGAGAGGAGAGUGGAAUUCCACAUGUAGCGGUGAAAUGCGUAGAUAUGUGGAGGAACACCAAUGGCGAAGGCAGCUCUCUGGCCUGAUACUGACGCUGAGGUGCGAAAGCGUGGGGAGCAAACAGGAUUAGAUACCCCGGUAGUC
rnacentral:rRNA from 1 species